UACGUAGGGUGCAAGCGUUUAAUCGGAAUUACUGGGCGUAAAGCGUGCGCAGGCGGUUAUAUAAGACAGUUGUGAAAUCCCCGGGCUCAACCUGGGAAUUGCGAUGGAGACUGCAAGGCUAGAAUCUGGCAGAGGGGGGGUAGAAUUCCACGUGUAGCAGUGAAAUGCGUAGAGAUGGUGGAGGAACACCGAUGGCGCAAGGGCAGCCCCCUGGGUCAAGAUUGACGCUCAUGCACGAA
rnacentral:rRNA from 1 species